rnacentral:rRNA from 1 species
GACGAACGCUGGCGGCGUGCUUAACACAUGCAAGUCGAACGGAAAGGCCCUGCUUUUGUUUGUUUCUCGAGUGGCGAACGUGUGUGUAACACGUGUGUAACCUGCCCUUGUCUUUGUGAUAUCUUCAGGAAACUGGGGCUAUUACCGGAUAUGAUCUCCUGCUGCAUGUUGUUGGUUGGUUAGUUUCGGCGGUUGGGGAUCUACUCGCUGCUUAUCAGCUUGUUGGUGGGGUAGUUCCUUACCAAGGGUUUGACGGGUAGCCGGCCUGAGAGGGUGACCGGAGACAUUGGGACUGAGAUACGGAGCAGAAUGCAACGGGAGGCAGCAGGGGGGAAUAUUGCACAAUGGGCGGAAGCCUGAGGAAGAAAGGCGGCGAGCGGGAAGAAGGGCUUCGGGUUGUAAACAGAUUUGGAAUGAGAAGAAGAGUGAGUGACGGUAAUGGGUAAAGAAGCACCGGCUAACUACGUG